GCAGUGGUGGUUCACUAGUAGAAUUCUUGUCUUCCAUGUGGGAGACCUGGGUUCUGUUCCCAGCCAGUGCA
rnacentral:tRNA from 1 species